GUAACGCGUAGGAACGUGUCUUGAGGUGGGGGACAACCCUGGGAAACUGGGGCUAAUACCGCAUAUGGGCUGAGGCCCAAAGCCGUGAGGCGCCUUUGGAGCGGCCUGCGUCCGAUUAGCCUGUUGGUGGGGUAAUGGCCUACCAAGGCUCCGAUCGGUAGCUGGUCUGAGAGGACGAUCAGCCACACUGGGACUGAGACACGGCCCAGACUCCUACGGGAGGCAGCAGUGGGGAAUAUUGGACAAUGGGCGCAAGCCUGAUCCAGCAAUGCCGCGUGGGUGAAGAAGGUCUUCGGAUCGUAAAGCCCUUUCGACAGGGACGAUGAUGACGGUACCUGUAGAAGAAGCCCCGGCUAACUUCGUGCCAGCAGCCGCGGUAAUACGAAGGGGGCUAGCGUUGCUCGGAAUUACUGGGCGUAAAGGGCGCGUAGGCGGCUUAGUCAGUCAGGCGUGAAAUUCCUGGGCUUAACCUGGGGGCUGCGUUGAGACGGCUAGGCUAGAGGGUAGGAGAGGGUCGUGGAAUUCCCAGUGUAGAGGUGAAAUUCGUAGAUAUUGGGAAGAACACCGGUGGCGAAGGCGGCGACCUGGCCUAUUACUGACGCUGAGGCG
rnacentral:rRNA from 1 species